AACACGUAAACAACCUGCCUUCAGGAUGGGGACAACAGACGGAAACGACUGCUAAUACCGAAUAAGUUCCAAGAGCCGCAUGGCCCAUGGAAGAAAAGGUGGCCUCUACCUGUAAGCUAUCGCCUGAAGAGGGGUUUGCGUCUGAUUAGCUGGUUGGAGGGGUAACGGGCCCACCAAGGCGACGAUCAGUAGCCGGUCUGAGAGGAUGAACGGCCACACUGGAACUGAGACACGGUCCAGACUCCUACGGGAGGCAGCAUG
rnacentral:rRNA from 1 species